UUAAAUUCUAAACCACAAACUCAAAUCUACAAUAUUUCUCUAAAAAAUGAAAACUUUCCAAAAAUAGCAGCUUUUAAGAAAAUUAUUUAAAAAUACAACCUAUUGAUGAAAAACUCUGAAAAAAUACUCAACAAUCCAAAAAUAUUCUUCUAAUUCUAAUUUCUAAAUAACAAACCCAAAUCUACAAUAUUUCUCUAUAAAAUGAAAACUUUCUAAAAAUAGCAGUUUUUAAGAAAAUUAUUUAAAAAUACAACAUAUUGAUGAAAAAAUAUGAAAGAAUACUCAAUAUCCACAAAUAAUCUUUUUAUCUUAACUUCUAAUCCAAAAAUUCAAAUCUACAAUAUUUCUCUAAAAAUGAAAAGUUUCAUAAAAUAGCUGUUUUUAAGAAAAUUAUUUAAAAAUACAACUCUAUUGAUGCAAAAUUCUAAGAGAAUACUUAUCUAUCAACAAAUAUUCUUAUAAUCCUAAUUUCUAAAUGACAAACCCAAAUCUACAAUAUUUCUCUAUAAAAUAAAAACUUUCUAAAAAAAUCAGUUUUUAAGAAAAUUAUUUUAAAAUACAUCAUAUUGAUGAAAAAAUUUGAAAGAAUAUUCAACUAUCCACAAAUAAUAUUUUUAUCUUAAAUUUUAAACCUCAAACUCAAAUCUACAAUAUAUCUCUAAAAAAAUAAAAACUUUCCUAAAAUAGCAGUUUUUAACAAAAUUAUUUAAAAAAUACAACCUAUUGAUGCAAAAUUCUGAAAGAAUACUCAUAUAUCCACAAAUAUUAUUGUAAUCCUAAUUUCUAAAUCACAAACCAAAAUCUACAAUAUUUCUCUAUAAAAUGAAUACUUUUUAAAAAUAGCAGUCUUUAAGUAAAUUAUUUUAAAAUACAACAUAUUGAUGAAAAAAUUUGAAUGAAUACUCAAUUAUCCACAAAUAAUCUUUUUAUCUUAAAUUCUAAACCGCAAACUCAAAUCGAAAAUAUUAUUCUAAAAAAAUGAAAACUUUCCUAAAAUAGCAGUUGUAAGAAAAUUAUUUAAAAAUACAACAUAUUGAUGAGAAAAUCUGAAAGAAUACUCAUACAUCAACAAAUAUUCUUGUUAUCCUAACUUCUAAACCAUAAACUCAAUUCUUCAAUAUUUCUCUAUAAAAUGAAAAGUUUCCAAAAUAGCAUUUUUAAAAAAAUUAUAUAAAAAUACAACAUAUUGAUGCAAAAUUCUGAAAGAAUACUUAUCUAUCCAUAAAUAUUCUUGUAAUCCUAAUUUCUAAAUCACAAACCCAAAUCUACAAUAUUUCUCUAUAAAAUGAAAACUGUCUAUAAAUAGCAGUUCUAAGAAAAUUAUUUAAAAAUACAACAUAUUGAUGAAAAAAUCUGAAAGGAUACUGAACUAUCCACAAAUAUUCUUGUAAUCCUAAUUUCUAAAUCACAAACUCAAAUCUACAAUAUUUUUCUAUAAAAUGAAAACUUUCUAAAAAUAACAUUUUUUAAAACAAUUAUUUAAAAAUACAAUAUAUUGAUGAAAAAAUUUGAAAAAAUAAUCAAUUAUCCACAAAUAAUAUUUGUAUCUUAACUUCUAAUCCACAAACUCAAAUCUACAAUAUUUCUCUAAAAAUGAAAACUUUCAUAAAAUAGUUGUUUUUAAGAAAUACUUAUCUAUCAACAGAUAUUCUUAUAAUCCUAAUUUCUAAAUCACAAACCCAAAUAUAUUCGUAAAUAUUAUUGUAAUCCUAAUUUUCUAAACCAUAAACUCAUUUCUUCAAUAUUUCUCUAUAAAAUGAAAAGUUUCCAAAAAUUGCAUUUUUAAAAAAAUUAUAUAAAAAUGCAACAUAUUGAUGCAAAAUUCUGAAAGAAUACUUAUCUAUCCACAAAUAUUCUUGUAAUCAUAAUUUCUAAAUCACAAACUCAAAUCUACAAUAUUUCUCUAUAAAAUGAAAACCUUCUAAAAAUAGCAACUUUUAAGAAAAUUAUUUUAAAAUACAACAUAUUGAUGAAAAAAUCUGAAUGGAUACUCAACUAUCCACAAAUAUUCUUAUAAUCCUAAUUUCUAAAUCACAAACUCAAAUAUAUAAUAUUUCUCUAUAAAAUGAAAACUUUCUAAAAAUAGCAGUUUUUAAGAAAAUUAUUUAAAAAUACAACAUAUUGAUGAAAAAAUCUGAAAAAAUACUCAACUAUCCACAAAUAAUCUUUUUUAUCCUAACUUCUAAUCCACAAACUCAAAUCUACAAUAUUUCUCUAAAAAUGAAAACUUUCAUAAAAUAGCUGUUUUUAAGAAAAUUGUUUAAAAAUACAACCUAUUGAUGCAAAAUUCUCAAAGAAUACUUAUCUAUCAACAAAUAUUCUUAUAAUCCUAAUUUCUAAAUCACAAACCUAAAUCUACAAUAUUUCUCUAAGAAAAUGAAAACUUUCCGAAAAUAGCAGUUUUUAAGAAAAAUAUUUAAAAAUAUAAACUAUUGAUGAAAAACUCUGAAAGAAUACUCAACUAUCCACAAAUAAUCUUUUUAUCUUAAAUUCUAAACCACAAACUCAAAUCUACAAUAUUUCUCUAAGAAAAUGAAAACUUUCCGAAAAUAGCAGUUUUUAAGAAAAAUAUUUAAAAAUAUAAACUAUUGAUGAAAAACUCUGAAAGAAUACUCAACUAUCCACAAAUAUUCUUGUUAUCUUAAUGUCUAAACCACAAACCCAAAUCUAAAAUAUUUAUCUAAAAAAUGAAAAAUUUCCAAAAAUAGCAGCUUUUAAGAAGAUUAUUUAAAAACACAACCUAUUGAAAAAAACUUUGAAAGAAUACGCAUAUAUCAACAAAUAUUCUUGUUAUCCUAAUUUCUAAACCACAAAACUCAAAUCUUCAAUAUUUCUUUAUAAAUGAAAAUUUCUAAAAAUAGCAGUUCUUUAAAAAUUAUAUAAAAAUACAACCUAUUGAUUCAAAAUUCUGAAAGAAUACUUAUCUAUCCACAAAUAUUCUUUGUAAUCCUAAUUUCUAAAUCAAAAACCCAAAUCUACAAUAUUUCUCUAUAAAAUGAAAAGUUUCCAAAAAUAGCAGUUUUAAAAAAAUUAUAUAAAAAUACAAGAUAUUGAUGCAAAAUUCUGAGAGAAUACUUAUCUAUCCACAAAUAUUCUUGUAAUCCUAAUUUCUAAAUCAAAAACCCAAAUCUACAAUAUUUCUCUAUAAAAUGAAAAGUUUCCAAAAAUAGCAGUUUUAAAAAAAUUAUAUAAAAAUACAAGAUAUUGAUGCAAAAUUCUGAGAGAAUACUUAUCUAUCCACAAAUAUUCUUAUAAUCCUAAUUUCUAAAUCACAAACUCAAAUCUACAAUAUUUCUCUAUAAAAUGAAAAGUUUCCAAAAAUAGCAGUUUUUAAGAAAAUUAUUUAAAAAUACAACAUAUUGAUGAAAGAAUAUGAAAAAUACUCAUAUAUCCAUAAAUAUUAUUGUAAUCCUAAUUUCUAAAUCACAAACUCAAAUCUACAAUAUUUCUCUAUAAAAUGAAAAGUUUCCAAAAAUAGCAGUUUUUAAGAAAAUUAUUUAAAAAUACAACAUAUUGAUGAAAGAAUAUGAAAAAUACUCAUAUAUCCAUAAAUAUUAUUGUAAUCCUAAUUUCUAAAUCACAAACUCAAAUCUACAAUAUUUCUCUAUAAAAUGAAAAGUUUCCAAAAAUAGCAGUUUUUAAGAAAAUUAUUUAAAAAUACAACAUAUUGAUGAAAGAAUAUGAAAAAUACUCAUAUAUCCAUAAAUAUUAUUGUAAUCCUAAUUUCUAAAUCACAAACUCAAAUCUACAAUAUUUCUCUAUAAAAUGAAAAGUUUCCAAAAAUAGCAGUUUUUAAGAAAAUUAUUUAAAAAUACAACAUAUUGAUGAAAGAAUAUGAAAAAUACUCAUAUAUCCAUAAAUAUUAUUGUAAUCCUAAUUUCUAAAUCACAAACUCAAAUCUACAAUAUUUCUCUAUAAAAUGAAAAGUUUCCAAAAAUAGCAGUUUUUAAGAAAAUUAUUUAAAAAUACAACAUAUUGAUGAAAGAAUAUGAAAAAUACUCAUAUAUCCAUAAAUAUUAUUGUAAUCCUAAUUUCUAAAUCACAAACUCAAAUCUACAAUAUUUCUCUAUAAAAUGAAAAGUUUCCAAAAAUAGCAGUUUUUAAGAAAAUUAUUUAAAAAUACAACAUAUUGAUGAAAGAAUAUGAAAAAUACUCAUAUAUCCAUAAAUAUUAUUGUAAUCCUAAUUUCUAAAUCACAAACUCAAAUCUACAAUAUUUCUCUAUAAAAUGAAAAGUUUCCAAAAAUAGCAGUUUUUAAGAAAAUUAUUUAAAAAUACAACAUAUUGAUGAAAGAAUAUGAAAAAUACUCAUAUAUCCAUAAAUAUUAUUGUAAUCCUAAUUUCUAAAUCACAAACUCAAAUCUACAAUAUUUCUCUAUAAAAUGAAAAGUUUCCAAAAAUAGCAGUUUUUAAGAAAAUUAUUUAAAAAUACAACAUAUUGAUGAAAGAAUAUGAAAAAUACUCAUAUAUCCAUAAAUAUUAUUGUAAUCCUAAUUUCUAAAUCACAAACUCAAAUCUACAAUAUUUCUCUAUAAAAUGAAAAGUUUCCAAAAAUAGCAGUUUUUAAGAAAAUUAUUUAAAAAUACAACAUAUUGAUGAAAGAAUAUGAAAAAUACUCAUAUAUCCAUAAAUAUUAUUGUAAUCCUAAUUUCUAAAUCACAAACUCAAAUCUACAAUAUUUCUCUAUAAAAUGAAAAGUUUCCAAAAAUAGCAGUUUUUAAGAAAAUUAUUUAAAAAUACAACAUAUUGAUGAAAGAAUAUGAAAAAUACUCAUAUAUCCAUAAAUAUUAUUGUAAUCCUAAUUUCUAAAUCACAAACUCAAAUCUACAAUAUUUCUCUAUAAAAUGAAAAGUUUCCAAAAAUAGCAGUUUUUAAGAAAAUUAUUUAAAAAUACAACAUAUUGAUGAAAGAAUAUGAAAAAUACUCAUAUAUCCAUAAAUAUUAUUGUAAUCCUAAUUUCUAAAUCACAAACUCAAAUCUACAAUAUUUCUCUAUAAAAUGAAAAGUUUCCAAAAAUAGCAGUUUUUAAGAAAAUUAUUUAAAAAUACAACAUAUUGAUGAAAGAAUAUGAAAAAUACUCAUAUAUCCAUAAAUAUUAUUGUAAUCCUAAUUUCUAAAUCACAAACUCAAAUCUACAAUAUUUCUCUAUAAAAUGAAAAGUUUCCAAAAAUAGCAGUUUUUAAGAAAAUUAUUUAAAAAUACAACAUAUUGAUGAAAGAAUAUGAAAAAUACUCAUAUAUCCAUAAAUAUUAUUGUAAUCCUAAUUUCUAAAUCACAAACUCAAAUCUACAAUAUUUCUCUAUAAAAUGAAAAGUUUCCAAAAAUAGCAGUUUUUAAGAAAAUUAUUUAAAAAUACAACAUAUUGAUGAAAGAAUAUGAAAAAUACUCAUAUAUCCAUAAAUAUUAUUGUAAUCCUAAUUUCUAAAUCACAAACUCAAAUCUACAAUAUUUCUCUAUAAAAUGAAAAGUUUCCAAAAAUAGCAGUUUUUAAGAAAAUUAUUUAAAAAUACAACAUAUUGAUGAAAGAAUAUGAAAAAUACUCAUAUAUCCAUAAAUAUUAUUGUAAUCCUAAUUUCUAAAUCACAAACUCAAAUCUACAAUAUUUCUCUAUAAAAUGAAAAGUUUCCAAAAAUAGCAGUUUUUAAGAAAAUUAUUUAAAAAUACAACAUAUUGAUGAAAGAAUAUGAAAAAUACUCAUAUAUCCAUAAAUAUUAUUGUAAUCCUAAUUUCUAAAUCACAAACUCAAAUCUACAAUAUUUCUCUAUAAAAUGAAAAGUUUCCAAAAAUAGCAGUUUUUAAGAAAAUUAUUUAAAAAUACAACAUAUUGAUGAAAGAAUAUGAAAAAUACUCAUAUAUCCAUAAAUAUUAUUGUAAUCCUAAUUUCUAAAUCACAAACUCAAAUCUACAAUAUUUCUCUAUAAAAUGAAAAGUUUCCAAAAAUAGCAGUUUUUAAGAAAAUUAUUUAAAAAUACAACAUAUUGAUGAAAGAAUAUGAAAAAUACUCAUAUAUCCAUAAAUAUUAUUGUAAUCCUAAUUUCUAAAUCACAAACUCAAAUCUACAAUAUUUCUCUAUAAAAUGAAAAGUUUCCAAAAAUAGCAGUUUUUAAGAAAAUUAUUUAAAAAUACAACAUAUUGAUGAAAGAAUAUGAAAAAUACUCAUAUAUCCAUAAAUAUUAUUGUAAUCCUAAUUUCUAAAUCACAAACUCAAAUCUACAAUAUUUCUCUAUAAAAUGAAAAGUUUCCAAAAAUAGCAGUUUUUAAGAAAAUUAUUUAAAAAUACAACAUAUUGAUGAAAGAAUAUGAAAAAUACUCAUAUAUCCAUAAAUAUUAUUGUAAUCCUAAUUUCUAAAUCACAAACUCAAAUCUACAAUAUUUCUCUAUAAAAUGAAAAGUUUCCAAAAAUAGCAGUUUUUAAGAAAAUUAUUUAAAAAUACAACAUAUUGAUGAAAGAAUAUGAAAAAUACUCAUAUAUCCAUAAAUAUUAUUGUAAUCCUAAUUUCUAAAUCACAAACUCAAAUCUACAAUAUUUCUCUAUAAAAUGAAAAGUUUCCAAAAAUAGCAGUUUUUAAGAAAAUUAUUUAAAAAUACAACAUAUUGAUGAAAGAAUAUGAAAAAUACUCAUAUAUCCAUAAAUAUUAUUGUAAUCCUAAUUUCUAAAUCACAAACUCAAAUCUACAAUAUUUCUCUAUAAAAUGAAAAGUUUCCAAAAAUAGCAGUUUUUAAGAAAAUUAUUUAAAAAUACAACAUAUUGAUGAAAGAAUAUGAAAAAUACUCAUAUAUCCAUAAAUAUUAUUGUAAUCCUAAUUUCUAAAUCACAAACUCAAAUCUACAAUAUUUCUCUAUAAAAUGAAAAGUUUCCAAAAAUAGCAGUUUUUAAGAAAAUUAUUUAAAAAUACAACAUAUUGAUGAAAGAAUAUGAAAAAUACUCAUAUAUCCAUAAAUAUUAUUGUAAUCCUAAUUUCUAAAUCAAAAACCCAAAUCUACAAUAUUUCUCUAUAAAAUUAAAGCUUUCUAAAAUAGCAGUUUUUAAGAAAAUUAUUUAAAAAUACAACAUAUUGAUGAAAAAAUCUGAAAGAAUACUCAACUAUCCACAAAUAAUCUUUUUAUCUUAACUUCUAAACCACAAACUCAAAUCUACAAUAUUUCUCUAUAAAAUG
rnacentral:lncRNA from 1 species